rnacentral:misc_RNA from 1 species
GAUGAAGAACGCAGCGAAAUGCGAUAAGUAGUGUGAAUUGCAGAAUUCAGUGAAUCAUCGAAUCUUUGAACGCACAUUGCGCCCCUUGGAAUUCCAUGGGGCAUGCCUGUUCGAGCGUCAUUUGUACCUUCAAGCUUUGCUUGGUGUUGGGUGUUUGUCUCGCCUCUGCGUGUAGACUCGCCUUAAAACAAUUGGCAGCCGGCGUAUUGAUUUCGGAGCGCAGUACAUCUCGCGCUUUGCACUCAUAACGACGACGUCCAAAAGUACAUUUUUACACUCUUGACCUCGGAUCAGGUAGGGAUACCCGCUGAACUUAAGCAUAUCAAUAAGCGGAGGA